CGGGAAAGUCAGCGGCUCCCUAUCUCCUGUGUGGGGUGAAUUUGGGGAGGAUGAGGGGGUGGUGAGCUGGGUCAGCCUAACCUGGUAGAAACAGCUGCAGCCCUUUCCUUCCGCCACCUCACGGGCUGAGUUGGGGAUGGGAACAGAAAGCAGCAUGGUCCCUCUGUGGGGGGGCCUCUGAGCCUCCAGUCUAAGAAGUGAGGAAAAGGAGAACGCCUCAGGCGAGCUAAAUAACCCUAUGCGACCCUGGUGCCGGUUCCAGGGGUUCCAGCCAGAUCCUUGGGGACUCAACAAGAAGCAAGUGCCGUCUAUCUGCUUCCCACCCAGAAGACGCGGCAGUCACGUGUACCCCAGGAGAAGGCAGGGCUUGGACGGAGGAGAGCAGAGGUCUAUCCAUGUCUCUGCAAAUGGUGCAACUUCCUUCCUUUCUGUUGGCUGAGUAAUUGAAUGGCUACAAUUUAAAAGAUGGCCAGUAUCAAAUGUUGGUGAGAAAAUGGAACACCUGAAGCUCUUAGACAGGGCUGAUGAGAAUGGCAUGACGACUUUGAGAAAAGAUCUGGAAAUUCCUCAUAAUACUACACAUACAGUUAUCAUAUGACCCAGCAUCUCCAUUUCCUGGUAUUUGUCUGAGGGAAAUGAAAACACGUGUUCACCUGAAGACUUGUGUGAGAACAUUCAUAGCAGCUAUAUAUUCAUAAGAGCCCCAAACUAAAAGCAACCAGAGUGUUUAACAAGAAUGGAUAAAGGAACUGUGUCACCUGCCCAGUGUGGAAUACAACUCAGCAGCCGGAAGGAAUGGAGCAAUGACUCACACAACGAGAUACUGUCUCACCGUGAUGAACAGGGAAGCCUGGAGGGCUGCAGUCCACGGGGUCACAAAGUGUGGGACACAAGUUGGUGACUGAACGCAAUGACAGAGUUACCAUCUUCAGACUCAGAGAGGUGAAGUGACUCACCCAUGGCCGCACAGCUGGAAUCAGGACGCAGAGCCACCCAGUGCCAGAGCCUGAGCGCCCAGCAACGAGCCAGGAUUGAAAAGGCCAUGGGCUCGGGUAGAGAAGGACUGACCAAGGCCAGCCCAGGGCGUGCUGGGGAAAAGGACCUUGAUCUGAAAAGAAAUACAAAAAGCCAAGUACAGAAGUGUUCUUCUUGCAGCAAAAUGACUGGGGUGAUUAAAAAGGAAACUAAACACCUAAAGCAAAUUUCACCUGAAAUGAAAUCACUACUGUUUACUGAGAACCAGAUGGAUCCCGGGCAUCAGCUAAGAGCUUGACGCACUCAAAUAACCCUGU
ensembl:lncRNA